CGGAUCCCAUCAGAACUCCGC
rnacentral:snRNA from 1 species